rnacentral:rRNA from 1 species
GCUUAGAGAGGGGUCAAUGUCCUAUCAGCUAGUUGGUAGGGUAAUGGCCUACCAAGGCUAAGACGGGUAGCCGGCCUGAGAGGGUGGUCGGCCACACUGGGACUGAGACACUGCCCAGACUCCUACGGGAGGCUGCAGUCGAGAAUCUUUCGCAAUGCCCGAAAGGGUGACGAAGCGACGCCGCGUGUGGGAAGAAGGCCUUCGGGCUGUAAACCACUGUCGGGAGUUAAGAAAUGUAAGGGUGUUAAUAGCAUCCUUACUUGACUAAGGCUCCGGAGGAAGCCACGGCUAACUCUGUGCCAGCAGCCGCGGUAAUACAGAGGCGGCAAGCGUUGUUCGGAAUUAUUGGGCGUAAAGAGCACGUAGGCGGCCUUGUAAGUCAGUUGUGAAAGCCUUCUGCUCAACGGAAGAACAGCAUCUGAUACUGCAAGGCUAGAGUGCGGAAGGG